UGCUAAAGACUUGGGACUGUGCU
rnacentral:piRNA from 1 species